rnacentral:rRNA from 1 species
GACAGAGGUGCCGAGCGUUAGGCGGAAUCACUGGGCUUAAAGCGUGUGUAGGCGGGUCGUUAAGUGCCUUGUGAAAUCCCACAGCUCACCUGUGGAACUGCUUGGCAUACUGGCGGUCUUGAGCCACUUAGGGGCAACCGGAACAAACGGUGGAGCGGUGAAAUGCGUAGAUAUCGUUUGGAACGCCAAUGGUGAAAACAGGUUGCUGGGAGUGCGCUGACGCUGAGACACGAAAGCCGGGGGAGCGAACGGG